UUUCAAUUCAAAUUAAAUUCAUACAAGCGAAUAUGUCUGACGAAAUUCUAAACUUUAUCAAAACAGUUUAAUAGGCCAUUUUUAGCCAAUUUGUCAGAUUUUCAAAACUUCGUUCCAAAUUUUAUUUGGCGAUAUCCCAGGCAAUAUUGCACGUAAAUAAACAUGCUAUAGCUCAAAAUUUAAGUUAGACUAUUAUGAAUACAGCUACGUUUAUUUCAGGGAUGUAACCCUUAUAGAUUUUUCGCCGUACUAAAUCAAACAGUUAUACUUUUUUUUGCGCCACCCGGUAGUUAAAUCACUUACAAAUUAUUUCGUAACUAUACCUACAGUGGAUGAGACUUGUUUGUAGUAAUAAUACUUAGUAAUAAGUAUUAAAAUAGGACUUAAUAUUAGAGAGUACACCAGGAGAAACCUAUCUGUGUUUCAAAAAAAGUGUUGACAAUCAGACAUUGCAGCCUUGGGAUUAAUUCAAUGGGUCAUUCCAGAAAAGAUCCACCCUGACCCAAAGGAAGAAAUUUCUGCCGUCCAAUUUCUGAUGAUAGUAUUAAGUGUAUUAGGACAUCUGAAGGGGGGGGGGGGUAACUCCCAAUUUCCUCUGCGGAAGAGGUCCGGAUGUUUUCAGGAAUGACCCAAUAUAAAUAUUGUAGAGUAACAAAUAUAUUGCAUAUAAUGUAAAUUAUUUAAUGAACGCAAAAAAGCAAAUUGAUGCUUCGUACAUCAUACAAAGUUAUAUAAAGCUUUAU